rnacentral:rRNA from 1 species
UAAUGUCUGGGAAACUGCCUGAUGGAGGGGGAUAACUACUGGAAACGGUAGCUAAUACCGCAUAACGUCGCAAGACCAAAGAGGGGGACCUUCGGGCCUCUUGCCAUCGGAUGUGCCCAGAUGGGAUUAGCUGUAGGUGGGGUAACGGCUCACCUAGGCGACGAUCCCUAGCUGGUCUGAGAGGAUGACCAGCCACACUGGAACUGAGACACGGUCCAGACUCCUACGGGAGGCAGCAUG